AGAAGUGAAGCUUUCAGUGCCCACCCACACCUCCUUGUGGGUGUAAAGUGUCUGUGUUGUCGCUACUGCUGCUUGUCUGAGAAAGGAGAAAGCAGCUGUUAGAUUUGACUAAGCAGCUGUAAUUAGAGUCUCUUUUGCGAAGCUGUCUCUCCUCUCCUCCCAUCCCCCGCUCACUACUUGGCAGAAUCCCCUAACCAAGGGGGGCUUCAGGGCCGGAUCCCUUUGCCUCCAAGUGCCGGAUCAGCAUGAACUGAGGAAUAAACUGAUUGGAGCUGGGAAGGCUGCAUGCUUCGGGAGGACGCGGGAGCUUCCGAGGAUCCCAUCCCUACCCAGAUCUGCAACUUCUCUGCAAAUUUCUACGCUUAGAGACUUCAGUGACUUGGCCAAAAGCUGUGCCUGGACAAUAGAAGCUGUGAAAAGACACAUUUACUCGGCUUGACCACUCAACAGGAACAUUGCUGAUGGAUUCCUGAAAUUGCUUUUAUUCAGUUCUGCUGUCAAUUGAGACAAGGCAAGUUAUUGGCAUUUUUGAGAUAUGCACAUUUGAAAGGAGCACUUGAAUAAUAUAGCUGAGACUGAGAGACAGGGAUCAAUACCAGUGUUAUUUUUGCCAUAUGGAUUUAACUCUACAUAAACAGUAACUGACAUAUUUGUAUAAUCAAGGUAAUGUCUCUGCUUUUCCCUUCAGAAGUUUGAUCUCUAGUAAUCUCAGAAA